rnacentral:rRNA from 1 species
GACGAACGCUGGCGGCGUGCCUAACACAUGCAAGUCGAGCGGAGGAUUUGGCCUUCGGGUUGAAUCUUUAGCGGCGGACGGGUGAGUAACGCGUGAGGAAUCUAUCUUUUGCUGGGGGAUAACACAGGGAAACUUGUGCUAAUACCGCAUAACAUAUCGAGAGGACAUCCUCUUGAUAUCAAAGGAGCAAUCCGGUCUUAGAUGGGCCCGCGUCCGAUUAGCUAGUUGGUGGUGUAAUGGACCACCAAGGCGACGAUCGGUAGCCGAACUGAGAGGUUGAUCGGCCACAUUGGGACUGAGACACGGCCCAGACUCCUACGGGAGGCAGCAGUGGGGAAUAUUGCGCAAUGGGGGAAACCCUGACGCAGCAACGCCGCGUGAAGGAUGAAGGUUUUCGGAUUGUAAACUUCUUUGAUUGGGGACGAAGAAAUGACGGUACCCAAAAAACAAGCCACGGCUAACUACGUGCCAGCCGCCGCCGUAA